AUAGAGAUGAACGAGUUAAAGGAAUAUAUAGUGUGAGAAUCUGAGACUGAAAGAGUUGUUUACACUUACUCAUGCGGGUUAUCGGAAGUAUCGACUUGGAUCAUCAUACGAUCAGAGGAUUUUAUGCGGGCAUUGCAAAUUAAAUGGGUCGUGCAAAAUACGAUACUCUUUCCAUUGUGAUGUUUAUCCAUAAAUAAGUAUCUUUUAUUAUAUAAUGUCAGCUAAAAUCGUAUCGAUUCCCAAAGUUUGUCUGACUAAAGAGAUCGAGCGUCUCCGUUUCCGAUGAAACGGUUCUACAAUAUGGGUUCCAGAUUUCAGGGUGACGACAGAGGGUUAGAGAGAGAGAGAGAGAGAAGGAAAGAGAACAAGAGCGUUGCUCGCUAUUGUUUUCUCGAGUGGUACUCGCUGGUUCAAUGCUCGCCCGCUCUGGUAGACCGGUACCAGAUGUACCCGGACCGCCUGGUUUCAACUUUGAUACCAUACAACGCCAUGCGUCACGGUUACACCAUCACCACCUAGCUUCCCAAAAUUUUUUUUUUAUUCUUCGUAUCAAAAAUAACACCUUACUAUUGAUAAAAAUUGAACUUUUUGUUUUAGAAAGGAUUGAUUGAGAGGAUUUUUGGAAAACAUGAAGAUAUGAAAAAAUUCGCGGAAGAGAAUAUCGCGAAUUAAUUAAAUUAUAUUUCUAUACUUUUUUUUUUUGUUCAAGUGAAUACAAUAAAAAAGUUUCCACGUGUGAUGUGCAAGUUAGUGUAUAAUGAAAAGGAUUUAUAUAUUCCUUUUAAUUGGUUGUACACGAACGAUAUGUAUGCACGACGGAUAUCCGAUAAAACUGAAGUCAUGACAACAAGGCUAUAAAAUAAGGUUAAAAUUUUGCAACGAAAUGAGAUUAUUCAUCAUAUUGUAUCAUAUAUGACAAAAUCUACAGGAAUGGAUAACGUUUGAAUUAAUAUUCCGUAUUACAAACAAUGAUUAGACACAACCAUGAUAUUGUAAUAUCAGAAUAUAUUAUAAUUAAACUUGUCGUGAAUAGAUGAAUAAUCUUCACAAAGUUUAAAAUUUUUUUUUUAAGUGAACUAAAUUGCAUUGGCUAACAAUAAUUAUACAAGAAAACAUUUAACAUGAUUACUUGAGUUUUGAUUGUACAAUUCAAUUUAUGUUAACAAAUCGCGUUCGCUUAAAGAUUGUUCCUUCUAUUUCUAUCUGAAUUUUUAUAGCCAAGGUGCAAUCUUCAGCGAUGGUUGUUAUCGUACAGUUCCUUGUGAAUGUGUAUAUUCACAUUAAAGUUCAUAUAAAAUUAUACUUGAUACUGCUUAUAUUCCUAAUGUGUUAUGAAUAAUAAUUGCCAUCAUAGAUCAUAUUAUGCAUCUAUUAUAUCU